CUUAAGCACUGGGUUUGAGCUCCAUUUUUGAUGAUCGCUCGCCGUUUGGACGUGGCAGGUCUAGGUCCUGAGAAGGUUUCAGGCAGCUUUCCCGGGGGUGAGCACAGACCCUCCCCUGGGCGCUCCGUGCCGGGGAGUUCUGGCGCGGGGGCUCAGCGAUGGUGGUUUUGGUGGGCAGGGCUGGGGGCUGAUCUCCUCUGUGCAGAGCUCGGCCUGCCCUGGGGGCUGCGGGGGCUUCAAUCAGCAGAUGCUGCUGUGCCAAGGCCAGCUCUGCUUUCAUCGGCUCGGAGCUGCGAUCCGCCCAGGAGCUCAGAGCCUGAGUGCUGGCCUGGCUGUGGCGUUUCCCUUUGGCAUUGCUCUUCGCUCCAAGCCCUUUUGGAACUUCUGCUUCUGAAUAAGAGUCCCUCUGAUAUCCGAGGCACUUGCCAGGACACUUGCUCUGUGCUACCUUGGCCACUGUUCAGAUGUCUCAGCAAAUUAAAUUCCCCUCAAUGGGCAUACCUGUCAGAUUUUAAUUUAGAAGUUUACUUUCUUUUUCAUUGCACCAGCAAGUCCCACCAGCUAAAACUUUCUGCUGUGAAACUGCGAGGCUUUCUGCUGGUAAUGCAUGCAAGUGACCCGUGUACCUCUGUCCUCCUGUCCCCAAACACCUUCAAUCCCCAUCCAACUACUUUAACCUGGGGACAGCUGUGGCACCCACUGUGCUGGGGCUCCCAGUUUGUGCUGACGGGAGCUGCGGCCGGUUGGUGGGGCGGGAGGAGAGCUGCUCCCGGGGGUGUCCGUAGGGAGGCACCCCCCGUGCCCCCGACCGUGCCCGUGGUGGCCUGUGGCUGCCCGAAGUGGCUCCUGUUUGCCCGGUGGCUCCUCUACGGGGCCCUGUCCCCAGGUGCCCUGGCCAGCGCCCUGGGCACACACACGGCCGUGUUUAGAAGUGGAGACGGCUUGUGCUUGGCUGCCCUGCUCAGAAAACACUUUCUGUGUUCCCUGCUAGUGUGUCGUGCUCUCUGGAUGCUGUGAGCUGCCUCGGGUCUUGUCUCUGUUACAGGUUGCACAGCCUGAGCUGAAGGCGCGUAGUUUGGGGUUUUUGAAAUCCAGUUAAACGCCCCGUGGCUGGUGGAGCCCUGGGCUUGAUCUGUGCUGCAUCGGCCCAGCUCCUUCCCAAACAAGAGUUAAAUCAAAACAGCCCAAACCAGCACUCUGGAUGCUUUUGUUUAUCAAACCAUUGAAAAGUUUAGCAGAGCUGAGGACACAGCAAUACCAGGAAGAUCUUGGGCUGUUCAAAGAGGUGGUUUUUCCUCUUGUGGUGGUGCUGGGGGGUCUGGGUGGGUGACAGGGCUGCAUGCAGGGGGCUGGCUGUUCCCUGAGCCCCGGCUCCAAGGGGUCCCCAGGCUUCGGGGCUUGCCUGCGGCCAGGGCUGUGGACAGAACAGAAAUUCAGCUGGUUUUGCUGAUAGGUGGUGUGACAGGUCGGGCCAGGGUGGGGCUGUCACCAGCAGCGCUUGGGAAUUUCUGCUUUAGAACAAAACCCCUCUGUCAGCUUGGGGAGCUCGAGCCUUGCCAAGGAGGUUUCUUGGAAGAUUUCAGUCCCUAGUUUGAGCCCUUCUUCAAAGCGUUAACACUUUUCUCUGCCAUUUCCUGAGAUCCUGUAGCAGACACUGGAUGACAGACACAUCCUGCUGCCGGAGGAAUUCCCCUUUUCCUGCUCAGCAGGAACUUGUAAUUUUGAGGCAUGAAGCUGGGGGAGACCAACGCAAGGGCUGUCCUGGAGCCCUGGCUGGUUUAACAGUGAUGGCUUUAGAAUAGCUGCUUGGAAAGCAGAACAAUUUGGUUUCAUUUUGCAAUUUCUUGGGGUGCUGAAGGAGCUGCCUGCUCAGGAUUAGGCGCUGCCGGCAGCAGUGGCGCAGAUUAAACCCACGGCCAUCCCGGUGUGGCCCCAGCAGGAGCCCGGGGCGGGUUGGCAGUGCCACGGUGGGGGCAUGGAGCUGCUGUUCCCUUUCGUUAUCUCUGUGAGGGAGCGGGAGGCAUCUCCAGGGAGGCUCCCGAGGUGCUGCUCAUGCCCAAAAGCCACGCUUGCUGUACGGGCCGGGUUGGAUUGCCGACGUGGCUGGGCAGCCUUCGCCGUGACUCGGGGUGGUUAACACUCAGCAGAGUUUAAAAUCUGAAUUUCCAUGUCUGAUGUGGGCGACUGUGUCCUUUUAAUCAUUUGGCCUGCUGGCAGUUGCAGUAAACCAGUCCUCAAACCGUCUUCAUGUUUUCCUCUCUUUUCUCCACUCGCCAUUUGGGAACAGUGCAGAGCCCUUUGCAUCGGGCUCCCCUGUCCCAGGGAUCGGCCUCGUCCUGCCGAGUGACAGAGCACCCCCUGCCAGAGGAGCUCAUCCCUCCCCGAGCGAGGUGCCACCGGCGUCUGGUGCUGUGCCGGCUGGCUGGUGGGGCGAGGGCACGGCCGGGCACAGCCCAGCCGGCCACCGCGGCGCGCAGCGCUCACGGCCCCCUUGCACGCCAGCUCUGGGUUAGCGACGGGCUAUUUCUGGGUCGCUCUCGUGAGUAAUGGAAUGAAUCGUGCUGAGAUUUUUGGGUGGGGACGGUGCCUCUGCCCACUGAGUCACCGCUCAGUGUCACGCCGGGCUCGGGAGCCGUCCCGGGUCAGGGGGGACAGCCGAGGCCAUGGGGAGGAGCUGGGGGCGCGGGGCUCUGCACGGCUGGGAGCGGGCAGGGGAGCAGGGCGGGCGCUGCCCGGUGCUGGGCUGCUCCGGUUGGCUUUGUUUGAGGUCCGGUGUGCGGCAGACCGGGCGCGGGCAGAUCCGCACGUCCGUCUGGGAGCGGGUGUUUGUGUCCCCGGGCAGCCGCUGUUCCUUGCGCCGCGGGUGUGUCGUCUCCUGCGUCGCCAGGAUUAGAUAGCGGCGCACCCCACGCCACCGUUCUUCCUCCGUUCGUCUUUGAGAUAUGGAGCCGCAAAGCAGCAAAUCGCAUUUUGCUGUGGGCAAAGGAGUUUUCUGUCUAAAUAAACAGACUUUUUUGCCCAUGAGCUCUCCUUUUUCCGUGUUGUGGAGAUGGUGGCUGGAGAGCGGAUGAGCCUUUGGUCAGAUGAGGAUGGUUUGCAAAGGGGGUGAUGCGUUUCUUGUGUCCCCAGGGAUACGCUGUCCUCCAGAGCUUUCCCUGCUCAAGAGGGCAGGAGACAGCAGAGUCCUCCAGCCCUUUUAUCUGCCUCCACAGCACAAAUGUCGUGUGUCCUCGGGAUGGGCUCCUGGCUGGCUGCCUGUGCGUGGGGCCAGGGGCAUCCCUGGCCCAGCUGGGACGGGCAGGAGCAAGGGGGCAUGAGGAAAGGGGACAGGAGCUGUGCUGGGGGGUUUCCCCUCCGCACUCAGCCCCCAGCAGUGGGACCCUUUGGGCACUUUAAGUUUUUUCUUCAACUUUAGUGUUGCACCAGUGUGCUCACCCUCUAUAUAGACACUCUGCGCCACUGGGAUGUGUUCCUAGCGCCGAGGCUCCUGGCUGAGGAGUGCUGGAUCCUGCCAGACACGGCCCUUCAGCCUCAUCUUCUCACCUUACAAGUGCCGACUUAUUAUUUUUAUUAAUGGCUCCACAGCACUCAGCAGCCACGAACCACUUUGCUUGUGAGCCAGAGUGCGUGUAACCUGCAAAGAUCCGGGGCUCUGGCAGGGUCUGGCCUGGAUUUGGGUGAAACCUUUCUGUCUUCUGCCCCAACCACACGGUUGGGCAGUUUGAUCUGUGGGAGCUGGGGUGGUCCCUGAGACUUCCCUGGGGGUUUGUGUGACAGCCCUGGGGAGGUCUCCUGGGGCAGGAGCUUAGCAGUGACCUGCUAAAUGUGCAGAUGAGAGGAGCCUGCUUUUGAAAUGCAAGUCAGCCGCUGAGUCGAACUUCUUAAUCCUUCACUUGCAGCUAAUUAUAAUGCAGCUUCACUCGGGUUUUUCUCUUUUCCUCCCUUUUCCAUUGGCGCAGGGUGCGGGUGUGAUUGCCCCGGGGGAGGACAGGCGCCAGGCCCUCCUUACGGCUCACUGCCGGUGCGCUGGCUAAUGCCAAGCUCCUGAUGGCCAGUCUUCCCAGCACGAUCCCAGUGUGAUCCGCUCCCAGCGCUCGCAGCUCGGUGUAUUGGUGUAGACCAGAGAGCAGCGUGUGCCUUUCCAGGGAUUAAACCCUGAGCUGUCAGUGUGCAUCUUGCCCAGGAUUUCUGCGGGGACAGAGCUGGUGAUGUGCCAG